rnacentral:rRNA from 1 species
UGGCCUACGGGACGCAGCAGUGAGGAAUAUUGGUCAAUGGGCGGAAGCCUGAACCAGCCAAGUCGCGUGAGGGAAGAAGGCCCUGCGGGUCGCAGACCUCUUUGGACGGGGAGCAAGGCCGCCGACGUGUCGGCGGAAGGAGAGUACCCGUAGAACAAGCAUCGGCUAACUCCGUGCCAGCAGCCGCGGUAAUACGGAGGGCGCGAGCGUUAAUCGGAAUUACUGGGCGUAAAGCGCGCGUAGGCUGUUGUGUAAGUUGGGGGUGAAAUCCCACGGCUCAACCGUGGAACAGCCCUUGAUACUGG